rnacentral:rRNA from 1 species
UAAUACGUAGGGAGCAAGCGUUGUUCGGAUUUACUGGGCGUAAAGGGCGCGUAGGCGGCGCGGUAAGUCACUUGUGAAAUCUCUGAGCUUAACUCAGAACGGCCAAGUGAUACUGCAGUGCUAGAGUGCAGAAGGGGCAAUCGGAAUUCUUGGUGUAGCGGUGAAAUGCGUAGAUAUCAAGAGGAACACCUGAGGUGAAGACGGGUUGCUGGGCUGACACUGACGCUGAGGCGCGAAAGCCAGGGGAGCAAACGGGAUUAGAUACCCCGGUAGUCCUGGCCCUAAACGAUGAAUACUUGGUGUCUGGAGUCAUUAUUGCUCCGGGUGCCGUCGCUAACGUUUUAAGUAUUCCGCCUGGGGAGUACGCUCGCAAG